rnacentral:rRNA from 1 species
GGGACACGUGGUAUCCUGUCUGAAUAUGGGGGGACCAUCCUCCAAGGCUAAAUACUCCUGACUGACCGAUAGUGAACCAGUACCGUGAGGGAAAGGCGAAAAGAACCCCGGCGAGGGGAGUGAAAAAGAACCUGAAACCGUGUACGUACAAGCAGUGGGAGCACGCUUAGGCGUGUGACUGCGUACCUUUUGUAUAAUGGGUCAGCGACUUAUAUUCUGUAGCAAGGUUAACCGAAUAGGGGAGCCGAAGGGAAACCGAGUCUUAACUGGGCGUUAAGUUGCAGGGUAUAGACCCGAAACCCGGUGAUCUAGCCAUGGGCAGGUUGAAGGUUGGGUAACACUAACUGGAGGACCGAACCGACUAAUGUUGAAAAAUUAGCGGAUGACUUGUGGCUGGGGGUGAAAGGCCAAUCAAACCGGGAGAUAGCUGGUUCUCCCCGAAAGCUAUUUAGGUAGCGCCUCGUGAAUUCAUCUCCGGGGGUAGAGCACUGUUUCGGCAAGGGGGUCAUCCCGACUUACCAACCCGAUGCAAACUGCGAAUACCGGAGAAUGUUAUCACGGGAGACACACGGCGGGUGCUAACGUCCGUCGUGAAGAGGGAAACAACCCAGACCGCCAGCUAAGGUCCCAAAGUCAUGGUUAAGUGGGAAACGAUGUGGGAAGGCCCAGACAGCCAGGAUGUUGGCUUAGAAGCAGCCAUCAUUUAAAGAAAGCGUAAUAGCUCACUGGUCGAGUCGGCCUGCGCGGAAGAUGUAACGGGGCUAAACCAUGCACCGAAGCUGCGGCAGCGACGCUUAUGCGUUGUUGGGUAGGGGAGCGUUCUGUAAGCCUGUGAAGGUGUGCUGUGAGGCAUGCUGGAGGUAUCAGAAGUGCGAAUGCUGACAUAAGUAACGAUAAAGCGGGUGAAAAGCCCGCUCGCCGGAAGACCAAGGGUUCCUGUCCAACGUUAAUCGGGGCAGGGUGAGUCGACCCCUAAGGCGAGGCCGAAAGGCGUAGUCGAUGGGAAACAGGUUAAUAUUCCUGUACUUGAUGUUACUGCGAAGGGGGGACGGAGAAGGCUAUGUUGGCCGGGCGACGGUUGUCCCGGUUUAAGCGUGUAGGCUGGUUUUCCAGGCAAAUCCGGAAAAUCAAGGCUGAGGCGUGAUGACGAGGCACUACGGUGCUGAAGCAACAAAUGCCCUGCUUCCAGGAAAAGCCUCUAAGCAUCAGGUAACAUCAAAUCGUACCCCAAACCGACACAGGUGGUCAGGUAGAGAAUACCAAGGCGCUUGAGAGAACUCGGGUGAAGGAACUAGGCAAAAUGGUGCCGUAACUUCGGGAGAAGGCACGCUGAUAUGUAGGUGAAGUCCCUCGCGGAUGGAGCU